rfam:Gossypium hirsutum cultivar TM-1 chromosome 25, whole genome shotgun sequence
CACGUCAGCGCAACUUGCUGACGUAAAAUGAAAUCGUGUCCUUGAGGGCGCGAUUUCCUUCCACUUCAGCAAGUUGCGUUGACAUGG